rnacentral:lncRNA from 1 species
GGGAAAGAAGUUUGUGUGGGGACUGUGGGCAGUGAACGCGUUGGGAACAAUAUGGAAAACUGGGAGCUGCCUUGGAAUCUACAGGGCCGGAGAGACCGAGGGGCUCACUAGGUUGACCAGGCUGGUCUUGAACUCCUGGUCUCAAGCCAUCCUCCCACCUCAGCCUCCCAAAGUGCUGGGAUUACAUGCAUGAGCCACCACAUCCAGCCUACCUAAAAUAUUGAAUGCUGUUAAUAAAUCUCCUGAGGCCAGCAUAAGAAGGUGAUGGGCAAAACUAAUGCAGGGUUUCAGUUGUGCAAUUUCACCAUUAGCAAAGCUUUUUGCUGAAAUCUGGCUUUUCAAAGGGAGAGUAUCCAGAAACAGAAGAUGCUGAUCUGGGAGGCUCUUCCUAAUAGAACUGCUGCUUCAGUUUAACUUGAAAAAGCCCACACCCAGUUCCUAAUGACAAACAUCUGAACACCGGGUCUUCCCCUGAGCAAGACCAUGCUAUGCCUCCUGCUCGCUCUGUUCUAUAAGCAACCCACAGAUUGCUCCCUGUGAAGAGGAGCCUGCCAGGGGAGCAGCAUUCCACCAGACCCUGAUUUAGCAAGAUAUUUCCGUAUCAUUCCCCCAACCAGCUGGAAGUCCUCCACUGCUCUUGUGUAAAAAUCUAACUCAUCUCGCUGAAUUUCCUGAUUUAAAAGUCUAAUUCAUUUCACCAAAAGUGUGACAGAAGGAAACCAAGUACACCAUCUCUCUC